UUUGACCUCGGAUCAGGUAGGGUUACCCGCUGAACUUAAGCAUAUCAAUAAGCGGAGGAAAAGAAACCAACAGGGAUUGCCCUAGUAACGGCGAGUGAAGCGGCAACAGCUCAAAUUUGAAAUCUGGUCCCUCGGGGCCCGAGUUGUAAUUUGCAGAGGAUGCUUUUGGCGCGGUGCCUUCCGAGUGCCCUGGAACGGGACGCCACAGAGGGUGAGAGCCCCGUAUGGUCGGACACCAAGCCUAUGUAAAGCUCCUUCGACGAGUCGAGUAGUUUGGGAAUGCUGCUCAAAAUGGGAGGUAAACCCCUUCUAAAGCUAAAUACUGGCCAGAGACCGAUAGCGCACAAGUAGAGUGAUCGAAAGAUGAAAAGCACUUUGAAAAGAGAGUUAAAAAGCACGUGAAAUUGUUGAAAGGGAAGCGUUUGCGACCAGACUUGCGCCCGUCGGAUCAGCCGUCCCUCGUGGGCGGUGCACUCCGGCGGGCUCAGGCCAGCAUCAGUUCGCUGCAGGGGGAGAAAGGCGGCGGGAAUGUGGCUCUUCGGAGUGUUAUAGCCCGCCGCGUAAUACCCCUCGGCGGACUGAGGACCGCGCGUAAGCAAGGAUGCUGGCGU
rnacentral:rRNA from 1 species